rnacentral:rRNA from 1 species
CAUAGGUUAAUGAGGCGAACCGGGGGAACUGAAACAUCUAAGUACCCCGAGGAAAAGAAAUCAACCGAGAUUCCCCCAGUAGCGGCGAGCGAACGGGGAGGAGCCCAGAGCCUGAAUCAGCAUGUGUGUUAGUGGAAGCGUCUGGAAAGGCGCGCGAUACAGGGUGACAGCCCCGUACACAAAAGCGCAUGUGCUGUGAGCUCGAUGAGUAGGGCGGGACACGUGGUAUCCUGUCUGAAUAUGGGGGGACCAUCCUCCAAGGCUAAAUACUCCUGACUGACCGAUAGUGAACCAGUACCGUGAGGGAAAGGCGAAAAGAACCCCGGCGAGGGGAGUGAAAAAGAACCUGAAACCGUGUACGUACAAGCAGUGGGAGCA